UUCAAUUGAAACCAUGACAUUCCACUUAAAACGGUCUCCUUCAACUGAAACCAUCAAAUUAAAAUGUAACGCUCUCUCCCCCCACUCCCAAACAAACCCAUAUCAAAGCAAACUUCAAAUGCAAAAAACUAACUCUUGGGCAGAGUGAAGCAUCAAAGCAAGACAUAACUACAUCUCAGAUAAUAUAUUGCUUUAAGAUUACCAAUUACUCAACUAAAUUAAGCAUGUAGGAUGAUUUCUUCAUAUACUCUUUGUUUCCACAAGUUGGGUCAUAUCAAUGACUCCUUCCGAUGGUGGGAGUAGGAAGUUCAUUUGUAAGCCAUUACAAUGCUACAUAUGCUUGGGCAAGUUCUGGACAUGAGCACUUCAAAUGUCUAGACCCUCAUCCAAUAUGUGUGCACAUAGAAUCACCAAAAAUCCAGCCUAUUCAGGGAUCCCUGAUCUUCGCAAUUAACAACAAAUGUCCAUUUUAUUAAUUUUACGAGAAUCCAAUCACUAGAAACACCAGUUGAGAAAUCCUUCCCAAAUACCCAUCUCCCUUGCUGAAGGUCAUGAAGUUGUGUGCUUCUUGAAUUAGGCCAUGAGGAUCAAGGUUUGAGCCCCUGUUAGCAGAACCAGAUGGUAUCAGAGGGUGUUCCUGCAUUGUUAUGGCAGAUAAAGGGUGCCACGGCCUUGUCAAGGAAACUUAGAUAUGAGACAUAUGCAAGUAGCUUCAUCAGGCUUAAGUCCCUUUAACAUGGCCUACCUAAACUAUGACCAUCCCCUACAACAUGAACCAUGAGCUCUGCGGAUGGCUUUGAUUCCACCAUGUCAUGCAACUCAUCAUGACCCCAAAUCAACAAUUUGCAAAAUUUGGUUAAGAAAACUUGAGUUAUUAUUGACUGACGAAGUGAAGAAAAUGAGGGGUUUCAGGCAAAAGGCAAAUUCUAAAACAUCAAAGAAAACCCAAAUUCACAAAAGGGGGGACCAGAACCCCUUUUGAUUUGCUUUGAUGCAAAGAAAUUCAGAACACCUCAAAUAGGAGAAAAAACCCAAUAAAUUGAGGUGUGAUAAACCCCCUAUAAAGC
rnacentral:lncRNA from 1 species